UACAGAGGUGGCAAGCGUUGUUCGGAAUUACUGGGCGUAAAGGGCGCGUAGGCGGCCAUCUAAGUCAGACGUGAAAUCCCCCGGCUUAACCUGGGAACUGCGUCUGAUACUGGGAGGCUUGAGUAUGGGAGAGGGAUGUAGAAUUCCAGGUGUAGCGGUGAAAUGCGUAGAUAUCAGGAGGAACACCGGUGGCGAAGGCGGCUACCUGGACAGAAACUGACGCUGAGGCGCGAAAGCUAGGGGAGCAAACAGG
rnacentral:rRNA from 1 species